rnacentral:sRNA from 1 species
CAUGCCCCUUAUACGCUGGGCUACACACGUGCUACAAUGGGUAGAACAGAGAGUCGCAAAGCUGUGAAGUGGAGCUAAUCUCAGAAAACUAUUCUUAGUUCGGAUUGUACUCUGCAACUCGAGUACAUGAAGUUGGAAUCGCUAGUAAUCGCGAAUCAGCAAUGUCGCGGUGAAUACGUUCUCGGGUCUUGUACACACCGCCCGUCACACCACGAGAGUUGGUUGCACCUGAAGUAGCAGGCCUAACCGUAAGGAGGGAUGCUCCGAGGGUGUGAUUAGCGAUUGGGGUGAAGUCGUAACAAGGUAUCCGUACGGGAACGUGCGGAUGGAUCACCUCCUUUCUAAGGAGUAUAAGUCUUUCUCUAUUCUAUUGGUAAUGUUCUUACAUUACUUCUGAACAUUGGAAACUAUAUAGUAGAACAAACAAGAAUAAAAAAUUAACUCUAACAAUUUCUUAGAGUUAGCUGUCAAAAAAUAGGUUAAAAUAAUUAAGGGCACACAAAGGAUGCCUAGGUAGUAAGAGCCGAUAAAGGACGUGGUAAGCUGCGAUAAGCCUAG